rnacentral:rRNA from 1 species
GUAGGUGACCUGCGGAAGGAUCAUUGUCGAACCCUGCACAGCAGAACGACCCGUGAACAAGUUAACACAUCUGGCCUUGCCGGGACCGAAGCAUUUGUUUCGGCCCUUGUGAGUCCUUGUCGACGUGCGUUCAUGCAUGGACCAUACCUUUGGUUUUGUCAUGGAUGUCAUGUUGACAAAAUAACAAACCCCCGGCACGAGAUGUGCCAAGGAAAACCAAAAUUAAAGAACACGUGCUGUUGCGCCCCGUUCGCGGUGUGCGCACUGUUCGUGGCUUCUUUGUAAACUUAAAACGACUCUCGGCAACGGAUAUCUCGGCUCACGCAUCGAUGAAGAACGUAGCAAAAUGCGAUACUUGGUGUGAAUUGCAGAAUCCCGUGAACCAUCGAGUUUUUGAACGCAAGUUGCGCCCGAAGCCAUUCGGUUGAGGGCACGUCUGCCUGGGCGUCACGCAUCACGUCGCCCCCACCAGGCAUCCCCUAUAGGGCUGUCUUGUGUUGGGGCGGAGAUUGGUCUCCCGUGCCCAUGGCGUGGUUGGCCUAAAUAGGAGUCUCCUCGCGAGGGACGCACGGCUAGUGGUGGUUGAUAAGACAGUCGUCUCGUGUCGUGCGUUUACUUUCUUGAGAGUAGAUGCUCUUAAAGUACCCUGAUGUGUUGUCUUAUGACGAUGCUUCGAUCGCGACCCCAGGUCAGGCGGGACUACCCGCUGAGUUUAAGCAUAUCAAUAAGNCGGAGGAA